rnacentral:sRNA from 1 species
GCCAGGCAGGGGGCGCACGCCUGUAAUCCCAGCUCCCUGGGAGGCUGAGGCAGGAGGAUAGCGAGUUCAAAGUCAGCCUCAGCAACUCAUCAAGAACCUGAGCAAAUUAGUGAGACCUUGUCUCUA